rnacentral:rRNA from 1 species
CUAUUGUACCUUUGUUGCUUCGGCGGGCCCGCCAGCGUUUGCUGGCCGCCGGGGGGCGACUCGCCCCCGGGCCCGUGCCCGCCGGAGACCCCAACAUGAACCCUGUUCUGAAGGCUUGCAGUCUGAGUGUGAUUCUUUGCAAUCAGUUAAAACUUUCAACAAUGGAUCUCUUGGUUCCGGCAUCGAUGAAGAACGCAGCGAAAUGCGAUAACUAAUGUGAAUUGCAGAAUUCAGUGAAUCAUCGAGUCUUUGAACGCACAUUGCGCCCCCUGGUAUUCCGGGGGGCAUGCCUGUCCGAGCGUCAUUGCUGCCCUCAAGCCCGGCUUGUGUGUUGGGCCCUCGUCCCCCGGCUCCCGGGGGACGGGCCCGAAAGGCAGCGGCGGCACCGCGUCCGGUCCUCGAGCGUAUGGGGCUUCGUCUUCCGCUCCGUAGGCCCGGCCGGCGCCCGCCGACGCAUUUAUUUGCAACUUGUUUUUUUCCAGGUUGACCUCGGAUCAGGUAGGGAUACCCGCUGAACUUAAGCAUAUCAAUAAGCGAGAGAUCAUUACCGAGUGCGGGUCUUUAUGGCCCAACCUCCCACCCGUGACUAUGUACCUUGUUGCUUCGGCGGGCCCGCCAGCGUUUGCUGGCCGCCGGGGGGCGACUCGCCCCGGGCCCGUGCCCGCCGGGAGACCCAACAUGAACCCUGGUUCUGAAGGCUUGCAGUCUGAGUGUGAUUCUUGCAAUCAGUUAAAAUUUCACAAUGGAUCUCUUGGUU